rnacentral:rRNA from 1 species
AGAGUUUGAUCAUGGCUCAGGACGAACGCUGGCGGCGUGCCUAAUACAUGCAAGUCGAGCGAACAGAGAAGGAGCUUGCUCCUUCGACGUUAGCGGCGGACGGGUGAGUAACACGUGGGCAACCUACCUUAUAGUUUGGGAUAACUCCGGGAAACCGGGGCUAAUACCGAAUAAUCUGUUUCACCUCAUGGUGAAACACUGAAAGACGGUUUCGGCUGUCGCUAUAGGAUGGGCCCGCGGCGCAUUAGCUAGUUGGUGAGGUAACGGCUCACCAAGGCGACGAUGCGUAGCCGACCUGAGAGGGUGAUCGGCCACACUGGGACUGAGACACGGCCCAGACUCCUACGGGAGGCAGCAGUAGGGAAUCUUCCACAAUGGGCGAAAGCCUGAUGGAGCAACGCCGCGUGAGUGAAGAAGGAUUUCGGUUCGUAAAACUCUGUUGUAAGGGAAGAACAAGUACAGUAGUAACUGGCUGUACCUUGACGGUACCUUAUUAGAAAGCCACGGCUAACUACGUGCCAGCAGCCGCGGUAAUUC